AGGAGCCGUGUGCAUUAAUAGUGCAAGCACGGUUCUGAGAGGGGGGAGGAAUUCAAUCUGCCAAAAAGGUAGAGAGGUUCCCCUCUACUCGAC
rnacentral:misc_RNA from 1 species